UGGGAUGUAGCUUGGUGGUAAAGCACUUGCCUAGCAUGUACAAAGCCUGGGUUUAAUCCUCAGCACCACAA
rnacentral:tRNA from 1 species